AACAGCCGUUCAUGUGGUAUCUUAGCCUUCAUGCUCCUGGUCCCAGCUAGUCUGACCCCAUGCCAUCUGCAGGGAAAAGGAGAUGACAAAGAGAAGUGUUGCAGCUACUUGAGGAAAAAGCUGGCUCUUGCUCAUCUCAAAGGCCAGUACUGCUCAGAACCAUUGCAGACUUCCCUUUGGACUAUUAAAGGUGGUGUUUUACAUUGGCAAACUUUUCCUCAUCUGUAG
rnacentral:lncRNA from 1 species